rnacentral:rRNA from 1 species
CAACAGGGAUUGCCCUAGUAACGGCGAGUGAAGCGGCAACAGCUCAAAUUUGAAAUCUGGCUCUCGGGCCCGAGUUGUAAUUUGUAGAGGAUACUUUUGAUGCGGUGCCUUCCGAGUUCCCUGGAACGGGACGCCAUAGAGGGUGAGAGCCCCGUCUGGUUGGAUGCCAAAUCUCUGUAAAGUUCCUUCGACGAGUCGAGUAGUUUGGGAAUGCUGCUCUAAAUGGGAGGUAUAUGUCUUCUAAAGCUAAAUACCGGCCAGAGACCGAUAGCGCACAAGUAGAGUGAUCGAAAGAUGAAAAGCACUUUGAAAAGAGAGUUAAAAAGUACGUGAAAUUGUUGAAAGGGAAGCGUUUAUGACCAGACUUGGGCUUGGUUAAUCAUCUGGGGUUCUCCCCAGUGCACUUUUCCAGUCCAGGCCAGCAUCAGUUUUCGCCGGGGGAUAAAGGCUUCGGGAAUGUGGCUCUCUUCGGGGAGUGUUAUAGCCCGUUGUGUAAUACCCUGGCGGGGACUGAGGUUCGCGCAUCUGCAAGGAU